GGGAAGGUGGCUCAGAGGUAGAGUGCUUGCCUUGUAUGCAUGAGGCCCUAGGUUCGAUUCCUCAGUACCA
rnacentral:tRNA from 1 species